AUAGUACAUACAUGUUAUUAAAACUUGAACUAAUGCACUGUGAGUCUUAUAAAUUGCUUACAUACCUCACCGAUUUCUGCAUGUCUGGAAAACGCUCGGAUUUAGUUCCUGUCUCCGCCUCCCAAAAUGUCUAGUGUAUUCGGAUUGGUCAGAUGACUACUCAACUGUUAUUGGUCAACUGGGUUCGGCGUGUGUUUGAAAGGUUACACCCCUGACUACGCGUGGGUUUUCCGGUUCUGACUGAGAGUCACAGGCAACGUAAACAAGCGCUAUAUUUCUCUAUAAACGAUGGUGUCUGUACUGCCUUACCACUUCAAGCUCGAUCCAGAGAGUUCAGACGGCCGUUACGAUAUAAACGAUCUCCGUCAAUGAACGCGAUUGGAUUUAACUUUUUUAGGUGUCCUUAGCUCUGCCAGAAUGCUAAACGAAGACGAAAAUGUGUUGCAAAGACAUCCAAAAGGUUUUAAGGAGAAUGCAACAGGUUCCAGGGCCUCUUACCUGCGUGAUUCAUCAUCCAGGUUUUGCACAAAUUGUCUAAAUCCCUACACACAGAACAUUUAUUGUACCGACUAUAAGCCUUUGAGGUGCAGGACUAGACUAUCUAUUCAGAUAAAUGGCAUAUCAAAGCUUUGUCAGCUGGUGCUAUCUAAGACGACACUAUAAGGUUAUCAUCCUGUCGUGUGUUGUUCUCCAGAUAUGCUUGGAGCUUCCUGAUCAGAUCGGUCACAAUUUUGGCUUUCGACGACCCCUGCACUGAAGAUGGCAUGCAAUCACGUCCUCCUUUGAAGGUCUCUCAAACUGUGAUGCCAGGUCCAUUGGAAUCGGGGUUUCCUUCAGCUUAUCUUCAAAUACCUCAUCAAACACAAGCCUGAUCACAUCAUCCACAUAACUGUACAAAUAUUGCAGUCAAUAAAUCUUUUGUUUUGAUCAUUUAUUUCCCUGCUUCAUACAUUAAGUUUUUAAUUAUGAAUGUAUUUGAAAUAAAACAUUACUGCUUA